CUUUCCUGUUUUUCUUAAUAGUAAAUUAUCACCAGUUUGGACAUUUAAAAUUUGAAGGAUAUACAUUAACAUCUUUGAAGAGAGAAUUCCUAUUCGUUGGACAUACUGAAUUCCGUUUUGAUUUUUUAAGGAAUUUGGAAUUAAUACUUAUUGGAUUUAAAUUUGACCAGGACAGGAUCUGGAUUAUUCUUGCAUAUUUGAAAUGGAAUUUACGGCUAGUUAAUAUGUUCUAGGAACCAGGCGACGGUGUCUAUGUGAAACAUGUAGCCUUUCUUUCUUUACACUACAGACAGAGACCCGUCACGUCACAAAAUAGCAUAGAAUGAAAACCAUGCAACUGUAUGGUAGACUUCUAAUUUCACAUUCCUUAAAGCUUAUGACAUAUCUUUUUUGAAACAUCGGAAAUAUAGGCAAAUCUUAAAAUGGAUGAGAUGAGAAAAAAAGCGUCAAGCCAAGAAGUCAAUAGAAUAUAGCUGAAGAUGGAACCCGGAACAAUGUGUGUGAGACUGAAUAAAUCAUGACGUUAUUAGUAAAUUGCGCUGCUCUUUGACUUUGCUUUGACUGUACCUUUAAAUGGGAAUAAUAUUUGUUUGUUGUUGACCUUGUUUUUAACCGGAAAAUAGGUUUAUUUUUUUAAGACAAACGUUUGUUCUAUAAACAACAAAUACCUGCAUCGACCAAAGAAUCGAUUCUUUCCCAUCAAACUUAUUUAAGAUUUUAACGAAAUGAACGCCUAGUUGUUUGGUUAGUUUUAUGUGCUGUUUUCGCUCUGUAAUCCAACUCUCAGUAACUGUAACGCUAACAGUGAGUUGGGAAGGAAAAAAGGGUCUAGCACUAAUGUGUAUUCGAUUAUAUUUAUACAUGGGUAUACAAUCGCUCUACAUUUUAUUUUACAUCCGGUUUUUAUAUCUCUGUAAGUUUAACACCCUGCUCUACUGCUAUCAUUAGCGAGCGUCGU